GAUAAACGCUAGCGGCAGGCUUAACACAUGCAAGUCGAGGGGCAGCAUAGAUUGUAGCAAUACAAUUGGUGGCGACCGGCGCACGGGUGCGUAACGCGUAUGCAACCUACCCGUCACAGGGGGAUAAUCCGGAGAAAUCUGGUCUAAUACCCCAUAACACAUGGAUCGGCAUCGGUUCAUGUUGAAAUUUUCGGAGGUGACGGAUGGGCAUGCGUAGCAUUAGCUUGUUGGUGAGGUAACGGCUCACCAAGGGGACGAUGCUUAGGGGGACUGAGACGUUUUACCCCCACACUGGUACUGAGAACCGGACCAGACUCCUACGGGAGGCAGCAGUGAGGAAUAUUGGUCAAUGGGCGCAAGCCUGAACCAGCCAUGCCGCGUGCAGGAUGACGGCUCUAUGAGUUGUAAACUGCUUUUGUGCGAGGGUAAAGUGGGUUACGUGUAACCUUUUGAAAGUAUCGUACGAAUAAGGAUCGGCUAACUCCGUGCCAGCCGCCGCGGUAA
rnacentral:rRNA from 1 species